rnacentral:lncRNA from 1 species
AUCACAUUUAAAUCGAAUGUUACGUUGUCACUCGAGUAGAAUAUUAACGUGAUUGGAUUACGUCACGAAGAAUCGACAAGAAAAGUCUAGUAAAAAGAAAAUGUGAAAAAUAUUUAAAACUCUUGCCGUUUAGACCCGUUUUCAGGAUCCAUUGUCAAGUCUCAAGUGCAUCUGUCAACUCGACAUUCUCUGUUGUGCUUACAAAAGGACCAAUUUAAAUAUCGUCAUCUGAAUUAUUAAAUUAUUCAAACUGACAAGUUCGUUCUGUAGUCGAGUCUUUGUCAUCAAAUUUUUAAUUGCCUUCCGUCGUCUUGCAAUGUCAAAGUGGAACGAUUACAAGUGGACUGGUUCUACUGCCUUGUGACUUGCCGAAUUGCUAUCAAUCUUGCGAGAGAAACAUUCAAACGCCCGUCUCGUUAGUCACCAGACUUUUGGUUCCGAUCCCGUUAGCAGCAACAGUCGAGUAAUUGCAAUCGUUGUGACGGUUGGCUACCGAUGAAGCACCCUGAUGAGCACUGCCUGUGGCCAACCUGCCAGAAGAAGCCGAUGGGGUGAACAGACCCUGAAAGGUCUCCCUGAACUGUGCACACACAAAACACAGGGGUGGUAUAAUAAUCGACUACUGUCACUCAGCGACAACAGUCACAGAUCCUGCACUUUGCAAUGAAUACUUGCCUGACGACUCAUGCCGCAAUAGAUGGCAAAGUUGAUCGGAUACGAUAGCGAAAUGAAGAAAUUGGUGAACAGGAUCAGGACGUUGAUGACGUCAUAGUCGAGGACUCGCAGUUCGAGGGAGGCAUCGAAAAUGUGCAGGACAGUCAGAACGGCCAACGGGAUCUCGACGACCAGGAAACAGGAGACGACGACAAUCAACAUGAGCGUCGUGCAAUUAGAAUCUCUUAAUUUUCGGCAUUCGCUAGCUUUGCGGUUUUCCUUGAAAAGCUUAUCUCGCUUUUGCUGAGCCCGACGCAGCGCCCCGAAUAAAAGGACGUUGAGCAGAACCAGCGAGGCGCAAGGUCCCAGGUGCACGCAAACAACUCGGAACCAAAAUUUUACUGUGAUGAACAUACCUGGCUGAAAAUGUCAGUGACCCAAUCAGCUUCGUAUUUGCAGCAGGUUGUCACAACUCCUUCACCUUCCCAGUAGAUAUCUACCGGCAGGUAUUUUCUGUGGGCUUGGCGGGUUUUACUGGUUUUCGCCCUCACUUCCCUUGAGAAAUCCACUGUGACUCUUUUUGAUUGAAAGUAAAAACGUGCACAAAGGAGACUUUCAUUUUCUCUUGUACAAAGCAAUCUUUGGAAUCUUAUAACAGACCAAAAAGAACGUAGCAACACAAUUGCUGAGCAACUGCAAGUCUUCUUUAAUAACUUGUAUAUUUUCUCGUCUGCUAUAUCAAAUCAGCCAUUUGUCUCCCUCGACAUAAAGAUCUAACAUACGAGACCAUUACGUUUGAGACCUGCAUUCGAGUAUCGCCAUCUGUCCACUUGUCGUGCCGAAAAACUUGAAAAUAAAAAAAAGAAAUGUCGCAGAAUGGGCAGAAACAUUGUGGCAAUUGGAUCUCACCACAUAAAAGACGUAUAUAUAAAUAACAAAAACUUAUUUCUUGUUCUUACUUUCUUGUUAUUAUGAUCAAUUUUUUGUAUCCUUUUGAACUUUUAUUGGACUUGUACGUUCACCGAAAAUACAGCAUCAUUGCUGAUGAAGUCUAGAGUGCUUUUGCUUUUCUGAUCGGCUUUUUGUCGACGCAAAACUGUAUGUAACCUAAUACACAGUCAAGCGUA